AACAAUGCCAGUCGAACGAGAAAGUGGAGCAUCCAUGAGUAAAGUGGCGCACGNGGUGAGUAACACGUGACUAACCUACCUUUUAGUGGGGGAUAACCUAGGGAAACCUGGGCUAAUACCGCAUAAUACCUACGGGUCAAAGCAGCAAUGCGCUGAAAGAGGGGGUCGCGGCCGAUUAGCUAGUUGGCGGGGUAAUGGCCCACCAAGGCAGUGAUCGGUAUCCGGCCUGAGAGGGCGCACGGACACACUGGAACUGAAACACGGUCCAGACUCCUACGGGAGGCAGCAGUGGGGAAUUUUGCGCAAUGGGGGAAACCCUGACGCAGCAACGCCGCGUGGAGGAUGAAGUCCCUUGGGACGUAAACUCCUUUCGAUCGGGACGAUAAUGACGGUACCGGAAGAAGAAGCCCCGGCUAACUUCGUG
rnacentral:rRNA from 1 species